GCGGCGCUUCUGAAUCCUCUCACUCCCUCAAACUCUCUCGAACCUUCUCUGAACCCUAAUCAUCUCCUACCACUUCCUUUGUGAAACCCACCAGAAUCCAUGGCUUCUCAAGCUGUGGGAGUCCUAUACUCACCUUUUAUUGCUCCUAUGUGCUUGAUACCUGAAGAUUCGAGGCCUUACUCUGAAGGUUUUCACCCAGACCUUUAUCGAUUCGAGGCUCUCUAGUUAUCGCCGACUUUGCUCCGCGUAGUAUAGUUGUUUGAGCCUGGUACUAACCUCUCCGACUCAUAUCGAUGACCUUUCAAAGCCUUUCUCAUCUCUAGGGUUCUUCUGAAACCCUAACUCUUCGAGUUUUUCUCCAAUUUCUUUUGAUUUGUGGGGUAUCUGUGCUCUCUUUGAGUUUUCAAACGACUUCCCUAAACUUUUCUUUAAAAAAAUACUUGCAAAAAAACAUUUUUCCCCGAUCUAGGAUUUUCUGAAAAUGUUUAAGUAUUUUUUUAAGAUUUUCUUUGUUAUUCGUGUGUAUUUGCCUAUAUUGUGCUCCUGUGUUUUUAUCUACCACGUUCUUAUAUGCGUUCUGUUCUUAUACUCUUCUACUGAGUUUCUAUACUCCGUUCUUGUAUGUUCUUUUUACUGUGUUUUAUAUGCUCCAUGCUUUUAUGUUCUUCUACUAUGUUUUUCAUACUAUGUUCUCGUAUUUUCUUCUACUAUGUUCUGUUAUGUUUCGCCUAUUAUAUUUUCCUACUGUGCUCUUAAGGUUUUGCUAUUUUUCUUCUGCUGAAUCUUAUUUGGAUUUCUCCUAAAGAUCCUCUUAAGCAUGCUACUUCUACUGUUCUUAUCUGUAUUUUCCAGUAUGUUCAUUGAAUCCUUCUACUGUGAUUGCAUGUGACUUUGCUAUCAUAUUUUCUCAUGGGUUAUGUUGCUAAAGAGGCAUGUCAUUUUCUGAAGCUUCUAAACAUGAUUUUGAUUCAAUUGCCCGCCCUCUCAUCUUUGCUUUAUGGUUUGUUUGAACUAGGGUUUUAUUUUUUAGAACCCCUGACUCAUUCAGACUAACUUCGAGUCUUUGAAUGAGUUUGAACUUCUUUGUUCUCAUAUGACUCUGAGUGUUUGCUAAAUUCUUCUAUACUGGAUUUUCUACUAAUUUUAUAAUGACACUACAGCUUUCUUUCAUGCUUAACGCAUUUGUAUGCUCCUUAUAUAUGAUCAACUUCCCUCAAAAGUAGUUUUAAAUCUGUAAUUAGUUCACGCUCCCCUCUGAACAGAGGUAUAAUGGAUUCUCAAUCCAUGUUUGGUGAUUCCCUUAAGUUACAAACCUUUCCCAUCCUUUUGACUUUGUUCAAAUCUCUUACCUCUGAUUUCUUGUCUAUUAAUUGAUUCUCUUUCUUUAUUUGAACAGAAUCAUGUAUUUCCAAAUUCUGUUUCAAAUAAAACUUUUAUGUAUUCACCUCUAAUUGCCUACUUUGCACAAAGUAUUUGAUUAAUUUCUUUCCUUAAUUAGCUUAUACCCGUUUGAAUUUGAAUCCCUUAAUUAAAGGAAGCCUUGUGUAAUUGAUUGACAAUCAAUUCUUUAAAUAUUUUAUUACCUUGUUUCCUCAUGACUCACACACUAUAAAUACACGACCUAUUUUCACAAACACACGAUUAACAAUCCUACACUACACACUUUGCAAUUCAGAUAUUCUUCUGCACUCAUACUCACCUACCUAUAAUAGUAUUCUUCUUUCUUGUCUGCAUUCUGACUUCCACAAGACUACUACUUUCUUUCUAUUUUGUUUCCCUGAAACUGGUAUGUCUUAAUUUUAAUUUUUCGGCAUCACCACAGUGUGUUUACUUACAACUUUUUGCAUCUAUGUCUCUUUACUUCUUCUGCAGAGUUAAAUACUUAAUUAGCAUGUUGAUUUCCUUUUGCUUGUUUCUGCUAUGAAUCCAUGAUCCCCUAUUUCCUUUUAUGUGCUUUGAGUUACAGUUUAAAAUAUGGCAAUAUGCAAGUUAUUGCCUAUGGAUUGAACUUGAUCCUUUAGGGUAUCCUAACCUCUAAUCGAUGUGUUCCAGUAGUCUUAUGGGUGUGCCAACAUCUCACAUUGUUAGGUUAUGCCUACUAGCCUGCUUUUUACCUCUCGCAACCCACAUUCCCUUACAUCCCUAUUUGUGUUGUUUCCCUUCCCGUCAGAAUUCUACACUUGCAUUCUCUCUUGGUUCAUAAGUUCUGCCCCCUCUUGUGAGCCUUGCCUUGGGACCUUGAGUUUUCUCCGAACUUGGACACCUGUGAGCUGGCCCUUUCACUGCACUAUGACUUAAUAUGGUGAUAUGUUUGGGUGUGAGCACUGCCCGGAGUUCUUAUAAAACUCUUAGGGAACUCUGACAAACACAAAUGAGAGAAAGGCUUUGAAACAUGAUCUUUGGAGUUGGUUUACUUCAUAAUUCAGACAGGACGUCUGGAUCAGGACCUCCUUGGUUGUAAUUUUCAAUUUCUGAUGUAUUUUCUUUUCUUUGGACUGUAAUAACUUGUAAUAAAACUUUUCGGGAUAGCUAGUGAAAAGAGAAGGGUAACCAUAUAUGCAAAAGGGGUAGAUAUCUUGUUC
rnacentral:lncRNA from 1 species